ACGAAGGGCAGGACCAGCACCCUGAAGACAUUAAGAAGUCAUAAGCUUAAGAUAUCCUCUUUAGCUAAUUAUUUUGGUGAUGGCAAAUAUAUAGGCAGAGAAAAUAACAGCUGUAGUCUGUGCAUACUGCAUAGGGAAAGUGGUAAUUUCAUUUUGCCUGUAGUAAUAAAAAUAUUUCGUGUUUCUUUCCUUUUGAUCUGUUUCCUUCGUAAUAUUUUAUCACUUCCACAAAUUCAAACAAGUCCCUCUGUUCCUUUAGUUUUUUUUUCUCGGUCUGUUCCUUUAGUUUUUUUUUCUCGGUCUGUUCCU
rnacentral:misc_RNA from 1 species